GGUUAAGUUAACAAGGGCGCAUGGUGAAUGCCUUGGCACUAGGAGCCGAUGAAGGACGGGACUAACACCGAUAUGCUUCGGGGAGCUGUACGUAAGCUAUGAUCCGGAGAUUUCCGAAUGGGGGAACCG
rnacentral:rRNA from 1 species